rnacentral:rRNA from 1 species
GAAUUCGAUUCAGGCCUAACACAUGCAAGUCGAACGAUGAAGCUGGAGCUUGCUCCGGUGGAUUAGUGGCGAACGGGUGAGUAACACGUGAGAAAUCUGCCCUUGACUCUGGGAUAACUGCGGGAAACUGUAGCUAAUACCGGAUACUUUCCUUGGUGGGCAUCCACUGGGGAAGAAAGAAUUUCGGUCAAGGAUGAUCUCGCGGCCUAUCAGCUAGUUGGUGAGGUAAUGGCUCACCAAGGCGACGACGGGUAGCCGGCCUGAGAGGGUGACCGGCCACACUGGGACUGAGACACGGCCCAGACUCCUACGGGAGGCAGCAGUGGGGAAUAUUGCACAAUGGGGGCAAGCCUGAUGCAGCAACGCCGCGUGAGGGAUGAAGACGGUCGGGUUGUAAACCUCUUUUAGCAGGGAAGAAGCGAAA